UGGGGAAUAUUGCACAAUGGGCGCAAGCCUGAUGCAGCAACGCCGCGUGAGGGAUGACGGCCUUCGGGUUGUAAACCUCUUUUAGUAGGGAAGAAGCGAAAGUGACGGUACCUGCAGAAAAAGCACCGGCUAACUACGUGCCAGCAGCCGCGGUAAUACGUAGGGUGCGAGCGUUGUCCGGAAUUAUUGGGCGUAAAGAGCUCGUAGGCGGUCUGUCGCGUCUGCUGUGAAAACCCGAGGCUCAACCUCGGGCCUGCAGUGGGUACGGGCAGACUAGAGUGCGGUAGGGGAGAAUGGAAUUCCUGGUGUAGCGGUGGAAUGCGCAGAUAUCAGGAGGAACACCGAUGGCGAAGGCAGUUCUCUGGGCCGUAACUGACGCUGAGGAGCGAAAGCGUGGGGAGCGAACAGGAUUAGAUACCCUGGUAGUCCACGCCGUAAACGUUGGGCGCUAGAUGUGGGGACCAUUCCACGGUUCCCGUGUCGCAGCUAACGCAUUAAGCGCCCCGCCUGGGGAGUACGGCCGCAAGGCUAAAACUCAAAUGAAUUGACGGGGUCAUAGCUG
rnacentral:rRNA from 1 species